CCUACGGGAGGCAGCAGUGGGGAAUAUUGGGCAAUGGGCGCAAGCCUGACCCAGCAACGCCGCGUGAAGGAAGAAGGCCCUCGGGUUGUAAACUUCUUUUGUCAGGGACGAAGAAAGUGACGGUACCUGACGAAUAAGCCACGGCUAACUACGUGCCAGCAGCCGCGGUAAUACGUAGGUGGCAAGCGUUAUCCGGAUUUACUGGGUGUAAAGGGCGUGUAGGCGGGACUGCAAGUCAGAUGUGAAAUUCCAGGGCUCAACCCUGGAACUGCAUUUGAAACUGUAGUUCUUGAGUGAUGGAGAGGCAGGCGGAAUUCCGUGUGUAGCGGUGAAAUGCGUAGAUAUACGGAGGAACACCAGUGGCGAAGGCGGCCUGCUGGACAUUAACUGACGCUGAGGCGCGAAAGCGUGGGGAGCAAACAGGAUUAGAUA
rnacentral:rRNA from 1 species